GAAGGCAUUUGUAAUGGCUCAAUUAUAUCUAUAUGUUCUGGCAUGUGUGCUUGAUAUUACCUCUCCAGUAUCCAGUAACUAAAAAAUAGUACAGUGCAGGAUUAAAUAUCUCAGUGUUUAAAUUUAUGAUUUUUAAGGAUGUAUUUUUGAGGGCUGAUCUGAUCUGGAAGCAUGGUUGAUUGUUGCAAACACUUGUUAUUUAGAUAUUAUGGACCAGGUUCUUGUAAGAAAAGAAAUGAGUUGAGCUGAGUUAUAUUAGCUUGUUGAAUUUACUUGAGUUAUCUUGAUAUUUUGGAUAGAUUAUUUGUAGAAAAAGGAACAAGUUAAGCUGAAUAUUUAUUAGGUUGUUGAAUUUAUUACGAUCAUGAUGGUGAGAACAUUAUUGAAUGUUGUGUGGAAUGAGGAGAAUUCCCUCAUUAGUUUGUGUAUGGUUAUGGGAUGGGAUCUUCAGGAGGUAGUUGUGGAUAUUCACUUACGUAUUUCAUCUCAUGUUUUCUUAUAUGUGAUAAACUUUUAAAAUUAAAAGUGGUUAGCCUUUGUCUUUCUUGCGAAACGUCAACUAUAGGUGUAACUCAUGCAGACAACAAGAAACUCGGGGAAAAGCAAGAUGACAGAUCAUAUAAAUUUUUAUUUUGGUCUAGAUUCAAUUUGGAAACUUACAAAGCCUUUUAUGAUGAUAUUAUUAUAUGUAUUGAACUCAAUUAGCCAUGGGUUAAGUAUAUGUCCUUGGUUUUUGGACCUGUUGGUAUUUUAGUAAUUCUUAGCUUUGCUGGAUUGACUGGGUUGCUAUGUUUUGCAAUCUUAGAUUUUGAGACUUUUUGAGCUUUAUUAGAAGUCCAACUUAGAGGAGUAUUGUCUUAAUCAUGAUUCCAAAUAUCAUAUGGAUUUAAACUAUUUAACAAACUUUUGUUGACCAAUCCCAUUAUGUAAUGUGAUUUAUGUGGCUGCCUUAUAAAUAAAGAUCUUAUUCAGCUUUAUACUUUCUCCAAUGCUUGCAUUUCAAGUUUUGCAUGCCUCCAUUUUCUUAUAUCAUGACAUCAUGCACCCUUUUUUUCAUUGCAAAAAAUCAUAUGAAGAUAUUCAUGAAAAUCGACUCACCCAUUGUAUUGUAAGCUCCACUAAAUAAUGUGUUAUUUGUAUUUUCUCAUAGCAUAGGUUGAAUUAAUAUCUUUGUCCAUGGUAUCGUGGUUAGGAAAUACCUGUAAGGCACAUGUGCUUGUUUUCUCCUGUGUGACAUAUUAGUGAAUCUGAUUUAACAGAUCACUAGUUGGGAAACAUUUAAUGCUAUCUUUCAUGAGGACUUGAGUUGUUCCAAACAACAAUUUGCAAUUUUUACGUGUGAAAAUUGCAAAUUGGUAUGAAUUCAUUUUCAUGGAUGCUUAAUGGAAUUCUCAACACCCGCACUGCGUAAAAUGAUUUUAGUUGUAUUACUUAUUUUUAUGUUGCAACUAACCUUUUGGUGUACCUGUGGCAGAAUGAACAUGAUAAAAUCCGUGA
rnacentral:misc_RNA from 1 species